ACAAAGUUACAAAAUUAUGAUGAGGAUGCCAAAUAAUAGAAACCUCUCUAGUUGGAGACAUUUGAGUAUAAAAGUACUAAUUAGGCACAAAAAUAUAUUUUUGUGGUGGAAGGGUCCCUACUAACUUACAUGUCAAAAUACAAAUAAUUGUAAAUAUAGUAUAUAAAAGAAAUCCAACAAAAUCAUUACGUUUGAAAUAAAAAUAAUUACCCACACACAUAUAUAAUCUUUUUUUUUAAGGGGUAUUACAUUAGUAGUAACCUGGACUUGGAGGAGGCCGUUGAUGGAGAGAGAGAAAAAAAAAAUAAGUGGGUGGAGACAAAGAGGGAGGGGGAAUGAUGGGUACAAAGAAAAGAAGG
rnacentral:lncRNA from 1 species